rnacentral:rRNA from 1 species
GGGCCCGCACAAGCAGCGGAGCAUGUGGUUUAAUUCGAAGCAACGCGAAGAACCUUACCAAGACUUGACAUCCCACUAACGAAGUAGAAAUACAUUAGGUGCCCUUCGGGGAAAGUGGAGACAGGUGGUGCAUGGUUGUCGUCAGCUCGUGUCGUGAGAUGUUGGGUUAAGUCCCGCAACGAGCGCAACCCUUGUUGAUAGUUACCAGUAUUAAGUUAGGGACUCUAUCGAGACUGCCGUGGACAACACGGAGGAAGGUGGGGACGACGUCAAAUCAUCAUGCCCCUUAUGUCUUGGGCUACACACGUGCUACAAUGGUGGCCACAGAGGGCAGCGAAGCCGUGAGGCAGAGCGAAUCUCAGAAAAGCCAUCUCAGUUCGGAUUGUGGGCUGCAACCCGCCCACAUGAAGUUGGAGUUGCUAGUAAUCGCGAAUCAGCAUGUCGCGGUGAAUGCGUUCCCGGGCCUU